GACGAACGCUGGCGGCGUGCUUAACACACGCAAGUCGAACGAAGAGCGAUGGAAGCUUGCUUCUAUCAAUCUUAGUGGCGAACGGGUGAGUAACGCGUAAUCAACCAGCCCUUCAGAGGGGGACAACAGUUGGAAACGACUGCUAAUACCGCAUACGAUUUAAUCUCGGCAUCGAGGAUAAAUGAAAGGUGGCCUCUACAUGUAAGCUAUCACUGAAGGAGGGGAUUGCGUCUGAUUAGCUAGUUGGAGGGGUAACGGCCCACCAAGGCGAUGAUCAGUAGCCGGUCUGAGAGGAUGAACGGCCACAUUGGGACUGAGACACGGCCCAGACUCCUACGGGAGGCAGCAGUGGGGAAUCUUCCGCAAUGGACGAAAGUCUGACGGAGCAACGCCGCGUGAGUGAUGACGGCCUUCGGGUUGUAAAGCUCUGUUAAUCGGGACGAAAGGCCUUCUUGCGAAUAGUGAGAAGGAUUGACGGUACCGGAAUAGAAAGCCCGGU
rnacentral:rRNA from 1 species